rnacentral:rRNA from 1 species
CCGCGUGAGUGAUGAAGGCCUUCCGGGUUUGGUUAAAGACUCUUUUACCCCGGGUAAGAUAAUGACUGUACCGGGAGAAUAAGCUCCGGCUAACUUCGUGC